UACGAGGGGGCAAGCGUUGUUCGGAAUUAUUGGGCGUAAAGGGCGCGUAGGCGGUUUGACAAGUCUGAUGUGAAAUCUAUGGGCUCAACCCAUAGCCUGCAUUAGAAACUGUCGGGCUUGAGUAUGGGAGAGGUGAGUGGAAUUUCCGGUGUAGCGGUGAAAUGCGUGGAUAUCGGAAGGAACACCUGUGGCGAAAGCGGCUCACUGGACCAUAACUGACGCUGAGGCGCGAAAGCUAGGGGAGCAAACAGG
rnacentral:rRNA from 1 species